rnacentral:pre_miRNA from 4 species
UUGAAGGUUUUGGGCUGCGUGUCAGGAGUGCAUUUGCACUGAAACUAUCUGAAGCAUGUAAAUGCACUAUCUGGUACGACAUUCCAGAACGUACAAUC